AUUGAACGCUGGCGGCAUGCCUUACACAUGCAAGUCGAACGGCAGCGCGGGAGCAAUCCUGGCGGCGAGUGGCGAACGGGUGAGUAAUAUAUCGGAACGUGCCCAGUAGUGGGGGAUAGCCCGGCGAAAGCCGGAUUAAUACCGCAUGAGACCUGAGGGUGAAAGCGGGGGAUCGCAAGACCUCGCGCUAUUGGAGCGGCCGAUAUCAGAUUAGCUAGUUGGUGGGGUAAAGGCCUACCAAGGCAACGAUCGUGUAGUUGGUCUGAGAGGACGACCAGCCACACUGGGACUGAGACACGGCCCAGACUCCUACGGGAGGCAGCAGUGGGGAAUUUUGGACAAUGGGCGCAAGCCUGAUCCAGCAAUGCCGCGUGCAGGAAGAAGGCC
rnacentral:rRNA from 1 species